rnacentral:rRNA from 1 species
GACAGAGGGUGCAAACGUUGUUCGGAAUUACUGGGCGUAAAGCGUGUGUAGGCGGUCGAGUAAGUCGGGUGUGGAAGCCCAGGGCUCAACCCUGGAAGUGCACUCGAUACUGCUCGGCUAGAGUACUGGAGAGGUUGGUGGAAUUCUCGGUGUAGAGGUGAAAUUCGUAGAUAUCGAGAGGAACACCGGUGGCGAAGGCGGCCAACUGGACAGAUACUGACGCGGAGACACGAAAGCGUGGGGAGCAAACAGG